CCUGGAAUCACGCCUUCAGUGACUCUGGAGUCCUCUGUGAAGCCCCCACAAAUUCCUAAACCAGAAGCACAGCCCAUUCCCCUGAGAUGCUUUGCUCCUGAGGUCCCCCAGCCACCUGUGACCCCUAAGGCUACUUCCUCCUUCCCUCCCCCCAAUACCCUAGCAAGGGGUCUCAGCCUCGCGCGCUGCAGAGCUGCUGCAGAGAUGCAGAUGCCGAAGUGGGGCGGGGGUACGACGGGAAACACCAGGCAGCCGUGACCGAGGGUGACCCAGGGCAGCCCAGCACUAGCGUGCUCCAAAGCUCCGGGAAACGGCUCCUACGAAGUCCCACGGGCUUGGGUUCAGAUCCCAGCCGCGCGAGGUCGGGCGGACUCCAGCAUCACAGGCUGGGUUCUCAGUUCCGCCUCCCUCCCGGGCACGAAUCUGGCAGGCGCAGCUGCCGAGGGCUGACCGCGGGAACGUGCCGUCCCUCUGGGGCACCGCACCGGGGACGCUGGCCGGCCGGAGGCCAGCUGCAGAAUGGUUCUGCUUCCGAGCUGCCAGGAGCUCAGAGCAGCACAGAGAAGAGAGAACCCAGUGCCCUGGAGGAUUGAGCUGGAGCCUUCGCCGAGGGCCUCUUCCAUCACCCCGCCCUGCGGCCCUGCCGGGACCCCACACUGACACGUCUUGUACUUCCCGUUUCCAGGGAAAUUCCUCACCCGCUGCACCACACCCGCCCUAGAGGACCUCCCGAGCUCUUCGGGCAGAGCGGAAGCCAGACCCAGACGGGGACUCUGAAGUGACAGGAGCCCCUGCAGGGCCAGGGCCAUGCUGCGGGAGGGGCGCUCGCCCCACGCAGCUGGGAGGAGACCAGGACCCCUGCUGUGCGCGCCUCUGGCUCCUGCAGCUGCUCUCUGGGGUUAGCAGGACAGAGACCCCUCCCCAGGUCCCAGCCCCCUAGUCAGCUUGCAGUUCUGGCUGCUGGGAGGCCCUACACCCCUCCCAGCACCCCCGAGAGGGAGAGGACCAGCCACAGCUCAGGGGUGCACAGAGUCCUGCCAGCUCUCAGCUCCCCAGCUUCCCCGCCACCCUAUUCUUGGCCCCCAGCUGCUGAGCUGCUUGAAGGUUUUAAGCAAAACAGGACUGACCCCGUCUUCCUGCUGCUCGGUGACCGCAGGGGGUUCCUUCAAGCAGGGAUGCAAGAAAAGCACAUUUCUCUUCUAGUCUCACUGGGGACAACCCCCAACCCCGGGCGAGAGCCUCCUGGGGCUCCCGGUUCGGAAACCCCCUCCGGAAAGGGGAAAUUGGUGUUUUCUGUUCCUUGGAGCUCACCAGGAACAUGGCCCAGCGUGGUGGUGCAGGCCUGUAAUCCCAGCACUCUGGGAGGCUGAGCCAGGAUGGCGAGUUUUGAGUCUACCCUGGGCACUUUGUGACUUAGCAAGACUCUGUCUCAACAUUUAAAAAAAAAAAAAAUUUUUUUUUUUGAGACAAAUUCUCACUCUGUAAUUGGGCUGUCCUUGAACUCACUACAUAGCUCAGGCUGGCCUGGAACCUCCUGCCACAGCCUCGAGGGUGCUGGAAUUACAGGUAUGCUCUACCAUGCCCAGCCUCAAAAUACAAAUAAAUAAAAUUUAAAGGACUUGGGGAUGUGGUCCCGUGUGAAGGCCCCAAGGUUAAAAAAAAAAAAAAAAAGUCAUAGAAAAGCUUGAGGUUGUGCUGAUUUGGGUUCCCAAGCCCCAUGUGUACCACCUGACCCUUGCUGUCUGUGUCCCCACAAAUCCAGGGACCAAGAAAUGUUGCAUCUAGAGGCCCAGACUGUGGGUGAUGGGGUCCCGGGAGAGCAGUUUGGUUACAGCCAGAACUGUGGAGCAUUGACUGCAUGAAGUGCUUAUGGGGGGGGGGUGUUUCCAGGGGCUCUGGCUUUGUGAUCCAUUAAACCAAGCAUGUCUGUUCUGGGUA